GACGUCGUCUUCGAUCGGGAAGAACAGUGAUGAGGUAUCCGGAAUAUCAUCGGACGGUGGUGAUUGCGAGGAAAAUGAAGUUCAAAGCUCUUAUAAUGGUCCUUUAGAUAUGAUGAAUUCCCUUGAGCAGGUCUUGCCUAUGAGGUAAAAAAAACCAAAAACCAAAAAUAAAAAUCUUUCCUUUUGUUAUAAUUUAUUGAUUAAUAUGCUAAAAAAAGUCUGGGUUUUCUUGCAGGAGAAGCAUCUCGAGUUUCUACAAUGGAAAAUCAAAGUCUUACACGAGUUUAGUCGAUGCAUCAUCAGCUUCCUCCAUUAAAGACAUAGCAAAACCUGAAAAUGCUUAUACUAGAAGAAGGAGAAAUUUAUUAGCAAUCAAUCAUAUAUGGGAUAAAAACAGGAGCAAAAAGUUCAUUAGACCAAUAAGUUCAAGUAAAAGCACAUUAGCACUUGCUGUUGCAAUGAGUGGUUCUGAGACUGAUAGUUUUUCAAGCGCUGGUGAGGAUUCUUCUUCAACUUCCAGUCCUAGGUUAUUACUACCUCCAUUACACCCACAAACGAAAAUGGUUUCUUU
rnacentral:lncRNA from 1 species